rnacentral:hammerhead_ribozyme from 1 species
AUCCAGCUGACGAGUCCCAAAUAGGAUGAAAUAUCCAUUCUAGAU